rnacentral:rRNA from 1 species
UACGUAGGGUGCAAGCGUUGUCCGGAAUUAUUGGGCGUAAAGAGCUCGUAGGUGGCCUGUCGCGUCGGCUGUGAAAACUCGGGGCUCAACUCCGAGCUUGCAGUCGAUACGGGCAGGCUAGAGUUCGGCAGGGGAGACUGGAAUUCCUGGUGUAGCGGUGAAAUGCGCAGAUAUCAGGAGGAACACCGAUGGCGAAGGCAGGUCUCUGGGCUGUAACUGACGCUGAGGAGCGAAAGCAUGGGGAGCGAACAGG